UUCCAGACUCCUACGGGAGGCAGCAGUGGGGAAUAUUGCACAAUGGGGGAAACCCUGAUGCAGCGACGCCGCGUGAGCGAUGAAGUAUUUCGGUAUGUAAAGCUCUAUCAGCAGGGAAGAAGAUGACGGUACCUGACUAAGAAGCCCCGGCUAACUACGUGCCAGCAGCCGCGGUAAUACGUAGGGGGCAAGCGUUAUCCGGAUUUACUGGGUGUAAAGGGAGCGUAGACGGCGAUGCAAGCCAGAUGUGAAAGCCCGGGGCUCAACCCCGGGACUGCAUUUGGAACUGUGUGGCUGGAGUGUCGGAGAGGCAGGCGGAAUUCCUAGUGUAGCGGUGAAAUGCGUAGAUAUUAGGAGGAACACCAGUGGCGAAGGCGGCCUGCUGGACGAUGACUGACGUUGAGGCUCGAAAGCGUGGGGAGCAAACAGGAUUAGAUACCCCCGUAC
rnacentral:rRNA from 1 species